GACGAACGCUGGUGGCGUGCUUAACACAUGCAAGUCGAACGGGAUUUAGUAAACAGAAGCCUCGGUGGAAGAUUACUAAUGAGAGUGGCGAACGGGUGAGUAACGCGUGAGCAACCUGCCUAUGACAGUGGGAUAGCCUCGGGAAACCGGGAUUAAUACCGCAUAAAAUCGUAGAAACACAUGUUUUAACGGUCAAAGAUUUAUCGGUCAUAGAUGGGCUCGCGUCUGAUUAGCUAGUUGGUGAGAUAACAGCCCACCAAGGCGACGAUCAGUAGCCGGUCUGAGAGGAUGAACGGCCACAUUGGAACUGAGACACGGUCCAAACUCCUACGGGAGGCAGCAGUGAGGAAUAUUGCACAAUGGGGGAAACCCUGAUGCAGCGACGCCGCGUGAACGAAGAAGGUAUUCGUAUCGUAAAGUUCUGUCCUAUGGGAAGAUAAUGACAGUACCAUAGAAGAAAGCUCCGGCUAAAUACGUG
rnacentral:rRNA from 1 species